UCCCUGAUGGUCCAAUGGUUAAGACUACACACUUCCAAUGUAGGGGACCCAGGUUCAAUCCCUGCUCAGGGAA
rfam:TPA: Bos taurus chromosome 17, whole genome shotgun sequence.